GGAAACAGAGGGUGAGCAGGAUGUCCCCCACCGGGACACCGGAGGGAUCACAGGUGUCUCAGCAUUCCUCUCCCACCAUCCGAAAAAUCCCAGGAGAAAACAUGACUGAACAAUCUCCCAACCAGGUGUCUGUAAAAACAAGAGCUCGGGUGGACACAUAACUCAUCAGAGGAAGCCCGAAGUUCUUGGUGUCCAGCCUCUCUGCCCCAGAAUGCACAUGUCACAGGUUACCCCUUCGGGAAGAAUGCAAUGCCACAGCUACAGUACAGCAUCUUGAGCACCCAGAAAGGUGUCAUUAAAAUUAGUAUGUGCAGAAUGUAAGUACUUUCUACUCUAUGAAGAAAAGUCUUUGAGAGACAACUGUUUUAUUGACUCCUAGUUGAUCUUGGAAUUAUUCAGCAAUGCCAGGACUUUCUCUGCAGGUCAGCGAAGAGGGUUUGAAUUACCUUUUUAUAAAUUAUUAUUCAAAAAACUUACUUGUUGUCCACAUUUUCGCUUUGGACCUAAACUAGUUGGUGUCCAACUAAUAUCAGAAAUUCUAAGUCUCGUCUCAUUGCAACUAUGUUGAAUGAAUUCAUGUAAGUUAUUUUCCUCUUCUCCAA